CUUUUUUAGAAAGACGUUUUUGUCAGCCGAACAACCGACAUGUUAAACGUUACAUUCAGUUGGACGCACUGCUAUGACUGAGCACAUUACAGUGAGGAUCACCAUCCAUCUUAAUAUUUUUUUUAGGCAACUCAGGUUAUUAAAGGGUUAUGAGGCUGUUGUAUAGGAAAUGUCUUUGCUUGUGUGUGUGUUGUUUACAAGUAAAUUUAAGUUGAAUAAUUAUUUUUAUUUUUUUUACAGGCACACGCUUGUGAGUCUGAGACUGGAUGAAGGGCAAACAUUUGACUGUGAGUCUGAGACUUGAUGAAGGAUCAUUAGGCAGCUGAGUUCGAUCGGUGUCCGGGUCGUAGGGUGGCAGAUGUAGGAGAGAGGAAACGCUUUCGCUGCGAUUGGAGAUGCAGAUCCACCGGUCAGUGUGGUUUGGCCUAUUAAACGGAUAGUUCACCCAAAAAUGAAAAUUCUGUCAUUAAUUACUCACUCUCAUGUCGUUC